ACUGUUUGUUCUCGAUAUUGCAUCUGUGAGUUGUCAUGACAGACAGUACACAGCAGUUUCCAUGGCUGCAGUUAACCCAUUGUCUGCUAACAUGAUGAAUAAUUUACAUAGCGGUAAACUAGCAUUCACACAUCUUUGUAUCCAUCAAGGUUACAGGGAAAGGCUAAAGAGGUUAAUCAAAGUCAAGAAACAUGCACACACUCAUGCAAGAAUGUUAAUAGGUGAUUCAUAUCUGGUUAAACCUCUUCUAAAGACUCAGAACAAGCCCAGACAGAUGCUGAAGCAUAAGAGACAUGUCCCUUGUGAACUUAUCAGUGCUUUAAAGGGAGAAAUACUUUUCAACAUUACACUCACAAUACGCUGUGAGGUAUCAAAUAAUAA